GAUGAACGCUGGCGGCGUGCUUAACACAUGCAAGUCGAACGGUGAAGGCGGAGCUUGCUCUGCUGGAUCAGUGGCGAACGGGUGAGUAACACGUGAGCAAUCUGCCCCUGACUCUGGGAUAAGCGCUGGAAACGGCGUCUAAUACUGGAUACGAGCUGCGAAGGCAUCUUCAGCAGCUGGAAAGAAUUUCGGUCAGGGAUGAGCUCGCGGCCUAUCAGCUUGUUGGUGAGGUAAUGGCUCACCAAGGCGUCGACGGGUAGCCGGCCUGAGAGGGUGACCGGCCACACUGGGACUGAGACACGGCCCAGACUCCUACGGGAGGCAGCAGUGGGGAAUAUUGCACAAUGGGCGAAAGCCUGAUGCAGCAACGCCGCGUGAGGGACGACGGCCUUCGGGUUGUAAACCUCUUUUAGCAGGGAAGAAGCGAAGGUGACGUUACCUGCAGAAAAAGCGCCGGCUAACUACGUG
rnacentral:rRNA from 1 species